UACAGAGGUGGCAAGCGUUGUUCGGAAUUACUGGGCGUAAGGGCGCGUAGGCGGCCUUCUAAGUCAGACGUGAAAUCCCCCGGCUUAACCUGGGAACUGCGUCUGAUACUGGGAGGCUAGAGUAUGGGAGAGGGAUGUAGAAUUCCAGGUGUAGCGGUGAAAUGCGUAGAUAUCUGGAGGAAUACCGGUGGCGAAGGCGGCAUCCUGGACCAUUACUGACGCUGAGGCGCGAAAGCUAGGGGAGCAAACGGG
rnacentral:rRNA from 1 species